rnacentral:lncRNA from 1 species
AAAUCUUUAAUCUGCGAGUUUCAGAAGAUCUAGAAUUCUGAUGCUAUACUAUGUUACCUCUCCAUUUUUCAAAGCUCCAUAUUCCUGACCUUUCUAUAAUCUUUGAUGGCUUCUUCAUCCAUUUUUUUUAACUCUCAGUUACCAGGUUACUUGCUUUAUUCUUGAUACCCUUUAACUUUCUCUUACCCUUCUCUUGAAAUAGUUCCAUUAAAAAUUACCAUGUAAAGUACCUAAUUUCCAUUGUGUGUCUAUGAAGCGGAUUUUCACAGCAUCAUUCGACAUUAUGCAAGUUGAAUUCCAGGGCGUGUGCCAGAACAUGUUAGGAGCCGAAUAUAAAACGUUAGGCUGCAGAUAGGGUACCAGUGUGUUACUGAAUUGAUUCCUCGAUGCUGUUACUAUGAACAUGGAUGAGUAUUUUAUGCUAUAAGAAAGGGAUGACUGUAAAUCUGGACAAGAUAUGACAGCUCUUAUAUGUUGGAUUCUCGGUCUUUGCUUUUUGAAGUUUCCUGCAUUUUUCUGUGUUUUCUAGUUUUUAUCAGCAUGGAUACCAAUAAGCCACUCUCAACUUACCUCUGAUUUCUGCUUUCAUUUUCUGAAAGUCUUGAAUAUCAGACGAUCAGUUUUAUGAAAAGAAUGUACAAAGAGCAAAUCAGCAGAAUCUGAUCCUCAUCUUUAAGACGUUCUAUUCCAGAUGAAGAGUAACUAGAAAAAAUAUGUAUCUCUGAACAUUAGAAUCACACUCAGCCUGAUGAGAUGCUCACACCGAGGAAUACCGGAAGUGAGACUGACUAAACGGACCUGAGGAUUAUUUCGAGGAUUAAAACAAACAAAAGUGAAAUGACUCAUUCUGGACGGCCCCAGGUGGUUCUGAAAUCCUGAGACUGAAAACUCCAAGAAGCAACCAAGAGACAAGGACAUGGUGUCAGUACUUGCACUGGUGAUUAAAGACAGAUCUUCAACAUCCCUGACGGCAGCAAAUAUGUCUAUGAUAGUAACACGGGGUGAAGCGGCUGAGUGGAAGAAGAUAUAGAGUGCUGUAGAGAAAAGUAUUGGAGAACAAGAAGAGUGAUGCAGAAAAUGAAACGCAGGGACACAAAGAAAAAGCACGCAGUUCUGGACAUAUUUAUGAAGACUUAAGCUGGGACUUCCUCUGCACACCAGCUCCCUCCCCUGCCCCCAGCUCUACAGACAUGACCGCACUUCCCACCUCCCGGGUUUCCCACAGCCGAGUGGUGCCCUGAGUCUCUUCCUAUGUCCAAUCCUAUGGUUUUGUUUCCUUUGCUUUUUCUUUCCUGCCCACUUUGUAGUUAUAGGUAUUUGCUGAAGCUCAGACCUUGGCUCAUUUCCUUUCUCAUUCUUACUGAACUGAGAAGUUGGAAUGCUUCAAUCAACAGCACUGUGCCGACAGCCUCUCUCAUCCUGGAUCGCAGCCCCUAAGACAUGUCUUCCUGGAUAUUCCAGGGUUCUUUCACAUAUCUAACACAUACUGCAUCUUCACUGCUGCAUCCCAAUUUUCCCAGACCCACAAUGUGAAAAUUUUUAUUAUUUGGUCCUGAAACCUUUUGCAUCAUCCUACCUAUCAAAUCUGCCACAGUCCUUGUUGACUUUUAAAAAGUUUUACUAGGGUACCACGUCCAGUGUCUUGACCCCAGGCUGGUAACCAUCGCUUGCCCAUUACUCUGCACCAGCUUCUUUACAUGCAUUUUCAGUCUCUUCGUUUUCCAUGUUAACUAUGCUACAAUCAACUAAAAGUCCUUAAUGUGCUAAUUUAGGAAAGACCUUAACCAUUCUCCAAACUACUAAUGACCCCCACCAUUUGAUCCCACUCUCCCUGUAAAACUAGCUUUUAUUAUUCCACAACGUGGAGCCUCUGUUGGGGUUGGCCAGUAUUCUCAUCAUCCCUCCACCAUGCCAUGUUUAUUAAUGAGUCAAGGUUUGUGGCCAUGCUCCUUUUUUCCAAUUAAAUACUGUUUGCUUUAUCGUUUAAUCAAAAUUCUAUUUUUUAAGGUAAAUUUCAAAUGAUACUUUUUUUAAGUCUAGUCAAGUACAGUAGGGAGAAGGGGGGAAAGAGUGGAACAAGG